rnacentral:rRNA from 1 species
AGUGAACGCUGGCGGUAGGCCUAACACAUGCAAGUCGAACGGCAGCACAGUAAGAGCUUGCUCUUACGGGUGGCGAGUGGAGGACGGGUGAGGAAUACAUCGGAAUCUACUUUUUCGUGGGGGAUAACGUAGGGAAACUUACGCUAAUACCGCAUACGACCUACGGGUGGAAGCAGGGGAUCUUCGGACCUUGCGCGAUUGAAUGAGCCGAUGUCGGAUUAGCUAGUUGGCGGGGUAAAGGCCCACCAAGGCGACGAUCCGUAGCUGGUCUGAGAGGAUGAUCAGCCACACUGGAACUGAGACACGGUCCAGACUCCUACGGGAGGCAGCAGUGGGGAAUAUUGGACAAUGGGCGCAAGCCUGAUCCAGCCAUACCGCGUGGGUGAAGAAGGCCUUCGGGUUGUAAAGCCCUUUUGUUGGGAAAGAAAAGCAGCAGGUUAAUACCCCGCUGUUCUGACGGUACCCAAAGAAUAAGCACCGGCUAACUUCGUG